ACGCUGCUGGGAAUUGAGGAGGAAAACUGUGGGAGAACACUGUGGGCUCAGAGGCUGAGGAGGAAGAGGAAGAGGAAGGGUUCCAGGUGCUGGAGCAGGGACUCCUGGCAGCCUCUGGAGGACCCCACACAAGAUCAGAAGAGAAGGCAAAGGAGCCGGGAGAGGAGACAGGUGGACCCUGGGGAUAAGAGAGGUGAAAGGUUCUUGGCUGUGCUGCAAAUCUCCUGCUCACCAUCCUUGAAGCCCUCAAAGCGUUAUCAGUUUCCCAUCAGAAUCCAUCUAUGUCU